CCAAAUUUGGGGGUGUAACAAUAUUGUAUAUACACCGUAAUAUAAAAUAAAUGGAAAAUGGUUGUAGGGAUAUUUUUGCCAUUUCAUUGUUAUUAUUAUAUUUCAGUAUUUAAUAAAAAAGAAAUAAAACCCUAAAUCGUUAAUCUCCUCCACUCUCCUCGUUUCGUUUUUUGCAUUUUUCAGUUUGAGAUCUCUGCAUCUUCGUUCCAAAAUCGAAGAGGAGAUUAUUUCCCCAGCUUCUCUCCGCUCUCUGCAUCGUCUCCAGUCCGCCAGCCUCCGACUCCGACGAUCUUGGGGUUCUUAGUAGGCGUUCUCAGUUCGCCAGCCAUCGACUUCGACGACAGUCGGCGUUCUCAGGUUGCCAGCCUCGUACUUUGACGAUCUUGGCCAUUCUCAGCUUCACCUUCGAUCACCGACGGGUCUGCUCACUCUCGGGUCUCUCUCCCUGACGCCGACGGUCUGCGACUCCCUCUCGGCUCUCUCUCCAAACGGUCGGCGACACCCUCUUGGCUACGAGUUGCUCUCUCUGCCGAAACACAGUGAUCUCUCUUGCAACUACCUCAAUGGAUCAAUCCCCCCAAGCCUUUCUCGUGCACUCCUGCGCAUUCUGAGUGUACUGGGAAACCGACUCAGUGGUUCCAUUCCUCCAGAGAUUGGUAACAUUAGAACGCUCAGGGAGCUGUAAGUCUAAUAUAUAAAUGUGUAAUAUAUAGUAUGGUAGUGUCAAAAUGUAAGACUUUUUUAGCAAUAGUUUUCUGUCAAUUCUUUUAAGGAUCAAUUUAAUGUUUCUUCAAAAUCUGUAGGACUCAUAUAGAAGCAAAUAUUUUAAACCACUUUGUCAUAUCAAGACUU